UACUCUUGCAAGCUAUAUACUUGGCCCUGAUGCAGAGAGUGCCAAAAAUGGGAAACAUGUGGAAGACGUGUUUUUUUCUGUUUUUUCAGCAUUGCUUGAUGCUCUUUUAUUACGUGCUCAGGUUUUCUCUACUUAUCCCCUUUUUUCUUUUUUUAUCUUUUCCACAGGGAUCUGGAUGGGUGGUUUGCAUUAUCUACCAAUAUAAUGUCUCAUUUGCUCUCAAUGAUGGUCUGAUGGAUUUGUGACCUCCAAAACCAGUAGUUUAACGUGUGUAUAUGUUUUUUUGGGAGUAGUGAGCGUAGAAUGAAGUAUUCUCUCCCUAUUAUUCACAAUCAAGACAAUUUUCUAGAGUUGAAUUUCAUUGAAGAAAGCAUACUUAUUAGUUCUGAACAUCUAAAAUCUCAGGUCUGAGAUGGGCAUUAAAGCAGCA
rnacentral:misc_RNA from 1 species